UACGGGGGGAGCAAGCGUUGUUCGGAUUUACUGGGCGUAAAGGGCGCGUAGGCGGCCACCGCAAGUCGACUGUGAAAUCUCCGGGCUUAACCCGGAAAGGUCAGCCGAUACUGCGGGGCUAGAGUGCAGAAGGGGCAACUGGAAUUCUCGGUGUAGCGGUGAAAUGCGUAGAUAUCGAGAGGAACCCCUGCGGCGAAGGCGGGUUGGCGGGCUGACACUGACGCUGAGGCGCGAAAGCUAGGGGAGCGAACGGG
rnacentral:rRNA from 1 species